CCCCCGUCCCUCCCCCCCAUCCGCAUCCGAGCGCCUCUGCUCCCCAGGGCGCCGCACGCAGCCAGGGGCCAGGUGGGAAGCCGGAGCCCGCCGCCUGCCCAGGGCCGCGGGUGGCUUCUCCGCGGUCCCGCGCGGCACCCUCUUCGGGCACCAGCUCCUGAACUUGGCCGGAAACGAACCAGUCCUCUGGAGCGGAAAGCUGCCGGCUUGUUGGUUGCUAGCAAGAGCCUAUCCAGGGUCGAGGUUCGGUGUGUUUGUUUCCACGUGCCUCUGUCCUAACCGGCUCCGCCCCCAAAUUUUCAAGUGUACAAGCUCGCCUUCCGCGCCAACUGUUGGAGUUCACCGUGGUGACCAUCUGACACGUCUCAAACAGCUGCCUCAAAGCAUCCCUCCUCCAGGUGCCCCGUUCCCACCUUCCAGGGGCUAUAAAACAAGCAAAUACACAAAGAAGAAUAUGCGACAGAAACUAGAUGUCCACCCUGUGGCCAUGUGUGAUCUGUGAACCAUCUCUUCUGUUGGCUGCAGGAAUCCUGGUGAAAGGUGGCUUUUCUUCCAUCCAGGCAGCAGUGACAAGAGGCAAGCAUAAAAUUAUGACACAGGUGACAAUUGCUGGUGAAAUACAGGUACCUACUUCCCACGGGGAGAAGCUGUUGAGA